AUACGGGGGGUGCAAGCGUUAUUCGGAUUUAUUGGGCGUAAAGGGCGCGUAGGCGGCUUGGUAAGUCAGAUGUGAAAGCCCGGGGCUUAACCCCGGAAGUGCAUUUGAAACUAUCAGGCUUGAGUAUGGGAGAGGGAAGUGGAAUUCCUGGUGUAGAGGUGAAAUUCGUAGAUAUCAGGAGGAACACCGGUGGCGAAGGCGACUUCCUGGACCAAUACUGACGCUGAGGCGCGAAGGCGUGGGGAGCAAACAGGAUUAGAUACCCCAGUAGUCC
rnacentral:rRNA from 1 species